rnacentral:rRNA from 1 species
GAUUAACGCUGGCGGCGUGCAUAACACAUGCAAGUCGAACGAUGAAACUUUUUUGAUUUCUUCGGAAUGAAAAAAAGUGGAUUAGUGGCGGACGGGUGAGUAACGCGUGAGUAACCUGCCUUAGAGAAGGGGAUAGCCUUUGGAAACGAAGAAUAAUACCCUAUGAAACCAUAACCUCGCAUGAGGCCUUGGUCAAAGAUUUAUCGCUCUAAGAUGGACUUGCGUCUGAUUAGUUAGUUGGUGGGGUAACGGCCCACCAAGACAGCGAUCAGUAGCCGGCUUGAGAGAGUGUACGGCCACAUUGGGACUGAGACACGGCCCAGACUCCUACGGGAGGCAGCAGUGGGGAAUUUUGCACAAUGGGGGAAACCCUGAUGCAGCGACGCCGCGUGAUUUAGAAGGCCUUCGGGUCGUAAAAAUCUUUUCUAUGGGAAGAAAAUGACAGUACCAUAGGAAUAAGGACCGGCUAAUUACGUGCCAGCAGCCGCGGUAAUACGUAAGGUCCGAGCGUUGUCCGGAAUCAUUGGGCGUAAAGGGUACGUAGGCGGGUAAGCAAGUUAGAAGUGAAAUCCUAUAGCUCAACUAUAGUAAGCUUUUAAAACUGCUCAUCUUGAGGUAUGGAAGGGAAAGUGGAAUUCCUAGUGUAGCGGUGAAAUGCGCAGAUAUUAGGAGGAAUACCGGUGGCGAAGGCGACUUUCUGGCCAUAACCUGACGCUGAGGUACGAAAGCGUGGGUAGCAAACAGG